rnacentral:misc_RNA from 1 species
GUGAGUCAUCGAAUCUUUGAACGCACAUUGCGCCCGCCAGUAUCCUGGCGGGCAUGCCUGUUCGAGCGUCAUUUCAACCCUCAGGCCCUGCCUGGUGUUGGGAGCCUGCGCCUGCAGCUCCCCAAAGACAGCGGCGGUCGUGCCCUGAAGCUGAACGUAGUAACAUACCUCGUUCUGGCCCAAGGCGCGCUCUUGCCGUAAAACCCCCUCUUUCUAAGGUUGACCUCGGAUCAGGUAGGAAUACCCGCUGAACUUAAGCAUAUCAAUAAGCGGAGGA